GGGACUGAGACNCGGCCCAGACUCCUACGGGAGCAGCAGUGGGGAAUAUUGCACAAUUGGGGGAAACCCUGAUGCAGCGACGCAGCGUGCGGAUGACGGCCUUUCGGGUUGUAAACCGCUUUCAGUAGGGAAGAAGCCUUUGUGGUGACGGUACCUGCAGAAGAAGUACCGGCUAACUACGUGCCAGCAGCCGCGGUAAUACGUAGGGUACGAGCGUUGUCCGGAAUUAUUGGGCGUAAAGAGCUCGUAGGUGGUUGGUCACGUCUGCUGUGGAAACGCAACGCUUAACGUUGCGCGGGCAGUGGGUACGGGCUGACUAGAGUGCAGUAGGGGAGUCUGGAAUUCCUGGUGUAGCGGUGAAAUGCGCAGAUAUCAGGAGGAACACCGGUGGCGAAGGCGGGACUCUGGGCUGUAACUGACACUGAGGAGCGAAAGCAUGGGGAGCGAACAGGAUUAGAUACCCUGGUAGUCCAUGCCGUAAACGUUGGGCACUAGGUGUGGGGGGCAUUCCACGUUCUCCGCGCCGUAGCUAACGCAUUAAGUGCCCCGCCUGGGGAGUACGGUCGCAAGGCUAAAACUCAAAGGAAUUGACGGGGGCCCGCACAAGCGGCGGAGCAUGCGGAUUAAUUCGAUGCAACGCGAAGAACCUUACCAAGGCUUGACAUACACUGGACCGUUCUGGAAACAGUUCUUCUCUUUGGAGCUGGUGUACAGGUGGUGCAUGGUUGUCGUCAGCUCGUGUCGUGAGAUGUUGGGUUAAGUCCCGCAACGAGCGCAACCCUCGUUCUAUGUUGCCAGCACGUGAUGGUGGUAACUCAUAGGAGACUGCCGGGGUCAACUCGGAGGAAGGUGGGGAUGACGUCAAAUCAUCAUGCCCUUUAUGUCUUGGGCUUCACGCAUGCUACAAUGGCUGGUACAGAGAGAGGCGAACCCGUGAGGGUGAGCGAAUCCCUUAAAGCCAGUCUCAGUUCGGAUCGUAGUCUGCAAUUCGACUACGUGAAGUCGGAGUCGCUAGUAAUCGCAGAUCAGCACU
rnacentral:rRNA from 1 species